rnacentral:lncRNA from 1 species
UAUAAACCAAACUAUUAGGUACCCAAAGGCAGUGGCGAAGCCCGGAAUUGACAGGGGGAGGGGCGAAGUUAAAAGAGUGCAAGGUUCAAAAGAAUAGCAACAACCAAAUCAUUUUAUAUAGUAAUGUCUUCCAUAAUUUAUCAACAUAAACAAAUUACAAUUGUUGCCGAUGACGUUUCAUACCAUGAAAAUGUCGCAUAAUAGGCUCAUUAUCAAUAAAAGCAAAUACAUCUCUCUCUAUGUAAACAAGCAUGCUAUCACUCAACCAUUGAUCUCCCAUUUUGUUACGCAAUGGUGUUUUCACAAUCUUCAUAGCAAAAAAAGCUUUCUCCACCGAAGCGGUUGCAACCGGUAACACCAAAGCCAAUGUAAGAAGCUUAUACACUAAUAUGUAGCUUGCACACCUCCCAGUCUUCACCAACUCCUUUGCAAGAUCACCAAUUCCUCUCAAUGAUGAAAACUCACUAUGCAUCUUCAUAUCGUGAAUGUAACUGUCAAGUUGAAUUGGAAGAUUCAUGAGGUCCAUACGAUCAAAAUCUUGAGGAUAAAGUUGAGCUAGACGAACAAUUUUUGCUUUGUCAAAAGAUGCAAAAUUAUUCACCGGACUCAAACAUGCCAUACAAAGAAGCAACUCGGUGUUUACCUCAUUGAAGCGAUCAUUCAAUUCCUUUAAUUGUGUAUCAAGGACUUGAAAAUAGAGGUCCACACGAUAGUAAUGGAAGUUUGUGAGUCUUGGAGCUUUACACCUUGAUUUUCCAGGUACAAAAUGCAAAUCCUCCAUGUUAGGAACGACAAUAUCAUGCUCUUGACAAAACUUUUGUACAUCAUUAAGCAAGUCCCCAAAGUCAUCAUCUCUCAAGGAUUGUAGUCUUUGCUUGCAUACUUCCACUAACGCCAUUGCAUUCACAAUAUCUUGAUAUUUCUUUUGUAAUGCUUGUGAUAACUCAUUUGUAACUCCCAAUAUGAGUCUCAUAAAAAAAAGGUGAAACACAAAAUCAAAAGUUUGUAUGUUAUGGAAUAAAUGACUUGUUUCACCAAAAUUGUCUUGGUUGGUAUCAUCUUUAAUCCAUUCAAGCACCUCCACCACGGCUUCAAACAUGACAAUAAUACUAACUAUAGUACCAUAAUGUGAGUUCCAACGUGUAUCACAAGGACGCAUGAGACUAUUCUCUUGAUUUAACCCUAUACCCGUUUCAAGAUAACCAAUAUCAAGAGCUUUCUUAAUUUGUUCUUGUUGUAUCUCUCUAAAUGCAUCACGACGCUUACACGAUAAUCCAAUUGUAUUGACCAAAAUACUAGCAUUGUUGAAGAAAAUGGCGACACCCCCUCAAUUCCCUUUGUAACGGCUACAAGAGCUAGUUGAAGUUGGUGUGCAAAACAAUGAACAUAAAAUGCUUGAGGAUAUUUGUUUAAAAUCUUUGUUUUAAGGCCAUUUAGCUCACCUUUCAUAUUACUAGCUCCAUCAUAGCUCUGUCCUCGUAACUUGGACAUACUCAAAUUUGUUGUAGCAAAGAAUCUCUCAAUAGCCUCUUCAAGCGAGCUACUAGUUGUAGAGAAGACAUGUUGCACACCCAAAAACUUUUCAAUUGCUUCUCCUUUUUUGUUCACAUAACACAAUACCACCGCCAUUUGCUCUUUAGUUGAAGAGUCACGUGAUCCAUCAACCAAAAGAGAAAAAAAAUCACCUUCCAUAUCUUUAGUGAUUGCAUUUAUAGUUUCAAUGGCACAAGCACGGACAAGAUCUUUUUGAAUAUCAGAAGAAGUAUACUUAAGAUUCUUGGGAGCAUUCUCAAACACAACCUUCCUAACUUGCUCAUUAUGCUUGGAAAGAAAGUGCAUAAGCUCCAAAUAAUUACCUCUAUUGCUUGAUUUCAACGAUUCAUCGUGACCACGAAAAGGCAAACCUUGUCCCAACAACCAUCUUGUGCACUCAAGUGAGGCACUCAAUAAAGUAUGAUAAUUAUUGCGAGCUUCAUCGGUUUGCUUAAUCACAAAUGUUUCAAUGUGUUGUUUUUGUGUCAUCAAAUCUCUAGCUUGUUGUACAGUUUUAUUAUGAAGACUUCCAACACCUCCCUCAUGGGCUCGAAGAUUUUCGGGUCCUUUCCUCCAAUUUGUAAACCCUUUCUCAGUGAAGACAUCAUUUCCAGUGCCACCCAUUUGAUCAAAAUCACAUUUGAAAAGAUAGCAAUAACGACAAAAUGCAGCAUCCUUUGAUAUACUAUACUCCAACCACUUAAACCUAUCAAACCAACCGGUGAUAAAACAUCUUUUGUUGCUAACUUUUCUUGGCAUAAUGUGGUCUCUAGGUUGACAAGGAUCAUUUUGGAGAUAGUGUCUACGAAUUGCUUCACGAUAAUUAGGUGGAUAAUCAAGCAUUCGACGUCUAUAUCCAGGGUCUGCAUGAAGAUUAGCCAAUAUCUCAUCCAACUCAGUGGGCUCACUUUGUUGUGAACUACUCAGAAUAUUCAAAGGAGGACUUCUUAUAUUUGAAGGAGGAGGAGGAUGACUACUUAGAAUAUUUGAAGGAGAAGGACUACCCGAAAUGUUUGAAGGAGGAUUUAAGCAUUGUUUCUUAUAGUACCGUUCCAUUACGUAACUGUAAAAUGGAAAGAAAAAAAAAAUCUUAGACUCUUAAUCCUAUAGUCUAUACUAAUAUGCAUAAUAACCCAAACCAACAAUUCAAUUAAUCAAUACCAAUAAGCAUAUAAAUUAUUAAAUAAAUAAAAAAAAUUCAUUCAACUAAUCAUAUGAAUACAACUAAUCAAAAAUUCAAAUUUUAAAUUUUCACCCUAAAAAAUAAUUUCAUAAUUUCAUAUCAAUCAAUAAUCAUAGAAUCAUAUCAAUAAUCAAUAAUCAAUAACCAUAUUAGUGCAUUACCAUAUGAUUCUAUACUAAUUAAACAAAAUUCGUAUUAAAUAAUUAAUUAGGGUUAGGGAUUAUAAAUUUAGGAAUUAAAAAUUUACCUUUGAAAUUGAAGGCUAGAAGUCGGCUUAGCGGCUGGAGUGGCUAGUGUUAGCAGCAAAAAGCCAACAGAAAUCAGCCAAUGGGGAUUUAUUUUCCGUUCCGUUGGGGUUGGGCGUUGGCUGCAGGCUCAGGCUGUUGAGAUUUUGGGAGAAGCUUUGCACUCUCUCUCUCUGAUUGGGGAAGGGAGAAAUUUGGAAUGGUAAAGCAUGCGGGCUGACUAAGUGAAGGAAUGAGGGACAUGCGGUCCCCCCAAUACAUUAUACAUAUAUAUUUUUUUGUUUUUUUUCAAACAUUGAAAGUUUCACGUGGAGGGGCACUAAUUUGAAAGACAUGGAGGGGCUAACUUUGGGACAUGUGGGCCAGAUUUUAAUUUUUUUAUUAAUUUAAAAGGAAAAAAAAGAACCCAGUGCUGCUGCACGCAGCAGCAAAAACCAGUUCACCGGUGCCAAAACAGAGAUGGAGGGGCUGGGUUUUCCGGUGAGGGGAGGGGCGAAACCUCGGCUUCAGCUAUGUUUUCCGGCGAGGGGAGGGGCGGUCGCCACUCCUCGUCCUCACGUGGCUUCGCCACUGCCCAAAGGCACAUGUGAUCUACUCUUUUUCAUCAAAGUCCACCAAACCAUCUUCAUAUAAACAGCUUCUAACCCACCUAAAUCCUCUGCUUCUUACUUUUCCAUGGCUGGCCUUCAAUACAACUUCUUUCCCACUGACUUCCUCUACCCUCGUACUGCUCCUAAGUUGAGGACCUUAGAAAAAGCUACUGAUCUUCCCCUGCAAACCACCAAAGCAGAUCAUGCAGCCAGCGACAUUGAACAGCUCAAAAUUCAACACCGUGGAGUUCAAGUAGUCAAGAUUGCAAAAUCUCCUCCUGUCAUGCAUGGUUGAAUAGGAAAGGAUUCGCCCCGUUCGAUCAUCGCUUACAAGAGCAGUCUUUGUGAAUGCUGAUACUGUUAGGGUUGUGAAGCUUGUAAAGAUCAAGACCAUGAACUUCAGGAUUGGAUUAUUUAUGGGGUUACCUUUUUUACCACUAUGUAGUUACUUUGCUUGCUUGUCAUCAUGUAUGAUGUAUAACAUAUAUAAUUAGUCUCGCUUUGUAACACCAAGGAGCUAGGUGGAUGUUAUAUGAGUUAGUAUCAUCCAGAAUAUCUGUAUGUUCAGAUUAUUGCUAGUGUACGAAGAUCAUUGGUGUCCAUAUCUUUUCCCUUUUUCCCCAUUAGCUACAAUUGAAUUCAGAAUUUUCGGAUUUUAAGGCCGCCGUUUACUUUCCAAUACGUAUAAAUGUAUAAUCUCUGACC